UACGUAGGCAGCAAGCGUUGUUCGGAGUUACUGGGCGUAAAGGGUGUGUAGGCGGUCUGCCAAGUUUGGUGUGAAAUCUCCCGGCUCAACUGGGAGGGUGCGCCGAAAACUGGCAGGCUCGAGUGGGGGAGAGGAGAGUGGAAUUCCUGGUGUAGCGGUGAAAUGCGUAGAUAUCAGGAGGAACACCGGUGGUGUAGACGGCUCUCUGGACCCUAACUGACGCUGAGACACGAAAGCGUGGGUAGCAAACAGG
rnacentral:rRNA from 1 species